UACAGAGGUCUCAAGCGUUGUUCGGAUUUACUGGGCGUAAAGUGCGUGUAGGCGGCUUUGCAAGUCGGAUGUGAAAGCCCACGGCUCAACCGUGGAAGUGCAUCCGAAACUGCAUGGCUUGAGUCUCGGAGAGGAAGGUGGAAUGCUUGGUGUAGAGGUGAAAUGCGUAGAGAUCAGGAGGAACACCCGUGGCGAAGGCGGCCUUCUGGGUCCGCCCUGACGCUGAGGCGCGAAAGCGUGGGGAGCGAACGGG
rnacentral:rRNA from 1 species